AAAGAAAAAUGUAGCCAAAGACGACUUGCCCACUUCAUCUAUAUCCAUUUUUUCAAUAUAAAAAACAGUACAGCAAAGGCUGGAGGGAGUAGUCGGCAAGUCAUCCUUGGCUGCACCAUCCUUUCU
rfam:Theobroma cacao cultivar Matina 1-6 chromosome 5, whole genome shotgun sequence.